GGUGUAUGUCCUCUUUAAUAUGCAUUCUAUGUUUAAGCUGAGUUUAUUAAAACUAUUUGUAGAUUAUUAUUAGGCUAAAUUACAGAAGAUUUUUUUGUCAAUAUUCAUUUUGUCAAUUUUCUCCCUGUCAUUAAAAAAACCUACACUUUACCACUUAAAAAUUAAAAAAUAUUCACUUCGCUCCCACCGUCAAUGUUCUGUUAAAGUUCUAUUUAUAUCUUAUUUUUUAUACCCAAAAUACUCUUGAAACUCUCAUUCAUACCCACAUACAUGCCCUCGACAGCCGCUUCGCCCUCUCCUAUUGCUUCACCCUCGCCCACCCCUCUGUAGCCGAGACACUCGCCCUCGCCCUCCUCCGCUGCCGGGAUAAGCAAGACUAGGUAGGAGGAGUCGAGAAGAUGAAGAAGAUGAAGAUAAUUUGCUCAACUUGUCACAUUAUAUCCUCCUGUGAAUAUUUUUUAUUUUUCUAAUAGGCAAAAUGUAGGUUUUUGAAUGAUCGAGAGAGAAAGUGAAAAAAUAAGUAUUGACAGAAAGAUUUUAUGUAAUUUAGCCUUAUUAUUAUUAUUAUUAUUAUUAUUAUUAUUAUUACAAAUCUAUCUUUUAAGGAAAUAGUUAAAGAUUGUGAUGAUA
rnacentral:lncRNA from 1 species